rnacentral:rRNA from 1 species
UACGUAGGGCGCAAGCGUUGUCCGGAAUUAUUGGGCGUAAAGAGCUCGUAGGUGGCUUGUUGCGUCUGCCGUGAAAGCCCGUGGCUUAACUACGGGUCUGCGGUGGAUACGGGCAGGCUAGAGGCUGGUAGGGGCAAGCGGAAUUCCUGGUGUAGCGGUGAAAUGCGCAGAUAUCAGGAGGAACACCGGUGGCGAAGGCGGGUCUCUGGGCAAUAACUGACGCUGAGGAGCGAAAGCGUGGGGGAGCGAACAGG